AAGUUGCUGCUACAUCCCCUAUUACCAGACCUAUGUGGGAGGGAACCUUCAAAACUCUCUUAACGAAGUUGGGCCUCCUGGUCCUGGCCUCUGGAACAACUUGAGACAGGCUUCCGAUCAUUUCAUUGUAACAGGAGGGGCACCACACCAAGAACAUAACUCCUGGCAUCUGUUGGAAUGACAUCUUCAGCUUCAGCCCAUAGAGUUAAUGAAAGUGACAAGCUCAUUCUUGCCUGUGAUCUGAUCUUGCUUGGGACCUUUCUGAUAUUCUGACUCCAUUCUCCCAG